rnacentral:lncRNA from 1 species
CCUAUAGUUGUUGAUUUCUGUGUCAUUUUGGUCUCUUGUGGAGAGUUUUCUCAUUGACAAUGAUACCACAUCUUUUUUUUAUAAAUAAAAAAUCAUGUACAUGUAUAAAUUUAAGACAAUGUGUGACAUUUUUGUCUCGAUUGUGUCUUUGUCCAAUGAUUUCCCCUUCUCCUGGACUUACUCUUGGUUUGUCUACUAUUCAUUGGUUGUCCAUCUAAUCCUUACAGUGCCAGUUGGAUUUGACCAUAUUGGAGUCAGACAACAUCAGAUAUACAGAAUAACAAAUAUAGUCCCUAGUGUUGACAGUGGGUUACUUGCCAUUUAAGGAAUAACAGUACUGUAGUUGAAGAGUUGCCACCGUCAAUUGUAGAUUUGACGGUCGCAAAUGCAGUUUUACUGGCGACGCGUAGUGGAGACAGUAAAACAGAGAUUUGCGACCGUCAAAUCA